UGAGGAAUAUUGGGCAAUGCCCGAAAGGGUGACCCAGCAACGCCGCGUGGAGGAUGAAGGUCGUAAGAUUGUAAACUCCUGUUAGAGGGGAAGAAUAACUAAGUUUGGAGCUUAGUAUGACUGUACCCUCAGAGAAAGCCCCGGCUAACUACGUGCCAGCAGCCGCGGUAAUACGUAGGGGGCAAGCGUUGUCCGGAUUUACUGGGUGUAAAGGGCGCGCAGCG
rnacentral:rRNA from 1 species